ACUAUUUUGGCAGAUUAGUGCCAUAGAUUUAGAAUCUAUAUAAGGAAUAGAUUUCCAAAUAGUA
rnacentral:tRNA from 1 species